rnacentral:rRNA from 2 species
GGUCAGGGCGCUUUUAUUAGACCAAGACCAAUCGCCCGGCCAGUCCGGGCGUUAAGUUGAUGAACCUAGAUAACACAGCAGAUCGCAUGGUCUUCGUACCGGCGACUUAUCUUUCAAAUGCCUGACUUAUCAACUGACGAUGGUAGACUCUGUGUCUACCAUGGCUGUUACGGGUAACGGGGAAUCAGGGUUCGAUUCCGGAGAGGGAGCCUGAGAAACGGCUACCACAUCCAAGGAAGGCAGCAGGCACGCAAAUUACCCACUCCCGGAACGGGGAGGUAGUGACAAAAAAUAACGAUACGGGACUCGAUAUGAGGCCUCGUAAUCGGAAUGAGUACACUCUAAAUCCUUUAACAAAAAUCUAUUGGAGGGCAAGUCUGGUGCCAGCAGCCGCGGUAAUUCCAGCUCCAAUAGCGUAUAUUAAAGUUGUUGCGGUUAAAAAGCUCGUAGUUGGUUCUGCGUCCCGCGCUGUCGGUACACCGUUUGUCGGUGACACUGGCAUGACGCGGGAUGUCCUGUCGGUGGCGGCGGAGACCAUAUCGUCGUCGGAUAACACCGCGGCGUGUUGGCCUUCUGUCGCCGGCUAUAUCCUACCGCGGUGCUCUUCACUGAGUGUCGAGGUAGGCCGACACGUUUACUUUGAACAAAUUAGAGUGCUUAAAGCAGGCAAAAAUCUCUGCCAGAAUAGUGGUGCAUGGAAUAAUGGAACAGGACCUUGGUUCUAUUCUGUUGGUCUCCGGAACACAAGGUAAUGAUCAAUGUGGACAGGCGGGGGCAUUCGUAUUGCGGCUUUGAUGACUCGGCGGGGAGCUUUCCCCGGGAAACCAAAGCUUUUGGGUUCCGGGGGAAGUAUGGUUGCAAAGCUGAAACUUAAAGGAAUUGACGGAAGGGCACCACCAGAAGUGGAGCCUGCGGCUUAAUUUGACUCAACACGGGAAACCUCACCAGGUCAGGACAUUGGAAUGAUUGACAGAUUGAUAGCUCUUUCUUGAUUCAGUGGGUAGUGGUGCAUGGCCGUUCUUAGUUGGUGGAUCGAUUUGUCUGGUUAAUUCCGAUAACGAACGAGACUCUAGCCUAUUAACUAGACGCGUUUGGUAUCGAAUCUACCGGCGAACUAUAUUCUUCUUAAGGGGACAGGCGGCUUUUAGCCGCACGAGAUUGAGCAAUAACAGGUCUGUGAUGCCCUUAGAUGUCCUGGGCCGCACGCGCGCUACACUGAAGGAAUCAGCGUGUGCGUUCCCUUGGCCGAAAGGUCCGGGUAACCCGCUGAACCUCCUUCGUGCUAGGAAUUGGGGCUUGCAAUUGUUCCCCAUGAACGAGGAAUUCCCAGUAAGCGCGAGUCAUAAGCUCGCGUUGAUUACGUCCCUGCCCUUUGUACACACCGCCCGUCGCUACUACCGAUUGAAUGAUUUAGUGAGGUCUUCGGACUGGCGGUAAGCCCAACCGACUCUGUCGGUUUUGUCGAACGCUGGAAAGAUG